CCCUCCCAUCCAUCUCUCGCCGAAAACAGCGCCGAUCCCCUCCCCCCGCUCCUAUCCUCUCGCAGAAAACAACGCCGUCCGCCAUCGCCGCCCAUCGCUCUCCACCGCGUCGCCGUGCCUCCGCCCUCCCUCUUUCAGGUCGCCGACCCAACAUCAGGUCACCGUCGCUCACGGCGCGCUUGCCUCGCAGGUCGUCGUCGCUCCGCCGCCACCCGGUCCCCAUCGACCGUCGCCCACGGCGCCUCCACACCAUCCCCGCAUCUCCGUCCGCAUCGCCUCCCUCAGCACUCGGCCCUCGCACAUCCCCGCGCUCUGCGGCUCCGUAUCGCCGCCCUCGCCGCAUCUCCCUCAUAUUCUGGUUUUGUUCACUGCCGCCGCCUUGCAAGUCGCUGUCAAUCCGCCGCCAUUCAGUCUUCAUCGUCGAGUCCCCUUCGCCGCGCACAUCCGUCGUUGGAGCGAGCAUCAUCGUCAGAAUGAUGUCUUCAACCAUCCUCCCUCCACUGCCGUCGCAUCAGUGCCACGUCUAGCCGCCUUCGCAAGUCGCUGUCGAUCCGCCGCCAUUCAGUGUUCGUUGCCAAGUCCAACUGCGUCGCCGCUGUCACCAUCUUCACCUUCACCUUCACUGACCUCUCCUCUCAGGAGGAUGCAGCAACUGCAUUAAAAAGAAGACCUUAUGCUAACAAAGCCAAAGGAACCUGAGUUUCAGACCUCCCACAGGGUCCGUGCAGUCAAGAGUGAAAAGCUCUGCUGAGCUAGAGGAGGAGAUGCUGGCCAACAUCCCAAAAUUCAGAGCACGGCCAUUUAACAAAAAAGUUUUUGCCAUUUCACCUGACGGAUAAAGACAAUGGCUAUUUAUCUUUAACAAUAGAUAUCAUAGACUGCAAAAUUAUUUCUACGCUUGGCUGAAAGGAGGACACCUCACUGCAGGUAUGUCCAUACACUAUACAUUUAUAUGAAUCAACACAAUUUAAUGUUUGCUUGUGUCACAAAAACAAAAUAUUUCUCUGAUUUAAUUUGAGAAUGCAUCUUACAACAAUUUAGCUGGCUUUCGAGCUUCUUAACCUGAUGCAUUCAUAUGUGAUGCUCCUGAGGAAUCCUAAUAUGUUUCUUGUUUUCAACUGUUUGAUGAGAUAGUUAAUUCUAUAACUGAAUAAUCUUCUCAAUGCCUAUUCAGGACAAUGUGUAUUUACUAAUGACCUAUUUCUUAUUUAUGUACCUUUAUGCACAUGUUGUUUCCUAAUUCAGAUUAUUAUAGAUCCUAUUGUUUCCUGUCAAAAAUUUAUAGCAAUCUAGCUCCUAUGAGUUUCCAUAUACAUGUUAUAAGAAUGCACCCUGUAAUAUUUAUGGGAUCUAGAAUUCAAGAAUUACAUACACAAAAUAUCCUUUCAAUCUAGCUAAUUAUCUGCAUGGUGCUGCUGAUAUUACUAGCUCACUUGGAUAUGCCACACAUUAGUCCAUUCAUGCUACACAUGCACGGAUCAACAAUAUGCAAUGGUUUGAGUUCACCUCUUGUAUCUGUAAUUCAUUUUCUUAUCUAGAUAAUAUAUGGCGUUUAGGCAGGAAUGUACAUAUAAGUCAUAGUUAUGGCUAUGUGAGGGAUUCACUGGAUUUGUGUUCAACCCUUAAGACAUGUCAGGCAUGUUAGGCUUAAGACAUUACGAUUUUUAAUUUCUAUUUUUUGGUACAAGAAUCUCCAUGUGAAUUUAGGUGUAUGCCUGUUUGUCAGCAUCUAUGAUAUUUUAUUUAAGUUGUAAAAUCUGCUCGUGUAAGUUUUGUCCAUAUUCAGCCAAUACAGUAAGUGAACCACCCAGAUUGCCUUAUGUUUGGUUUGAUCUCUUCUCCCUUACCCUUCACUGUGUGAUAUAUUUUUGUCCUGUAUUGAUAUAUAAGUGAUGUGUGAACCAAUUUAGAUUUUUGUUAUUUGAUUACUGGUAUGAUAUGAUGCAAUUGGUUGAA